rnacentral:rRNA from 1 species
UACGAAGGGGCUAGCGUUGCUCGGAAUCACUGGGCGUAAAGCGCACGUAGGCGGCUUCUUAAGUCAGGGGUGAAAUCCUGGAGCUCAACUCCAGAACUGCCUUUGAUACUGAGAAGCUUGAGUCCGGGAGAGGUGAGUGGAACUGCGAGUGUAGAGGUGAAAUUCGUAGAUAUUCGCAAGAACACCAGUGGCGAAGGCGGCUCACUGGCCCGGUACUGACGCUGAGGUGCGAAAGCGUGGGGAGCAAACAGGG